GAUGAACGCUGGCGGCGUGCCUAAUACAUGCAAGUCGAGCGAACAGACGAGGAGCUUGCUCCUCUGACGUUAGCGGCGGACGGGUGAGUAACACGUGGAUAACCUCCCUAUAAGACUGGGAUAACUUCGGGAAACCGGAGCUAAUACCGGAUAAUAUAUUGAACCGCAUGGUUCAAUAGUGAAAGACGGUUUUGCUGUCACUUAUAGAUGGACCCGCGCCGCAUUAGCUAGUUGGUAAGGUAACGGCUUACCAAGGCAACGAUGCGUAGCCGACCUGAGAGGGUGAUCGGCCACACUGGAACUGAGACACGGUCCAGACUCCUACGGGAGGCAGCAGUAGGGAAUCUUCCGCAAUGGGCGAAAGCUUGACGGAGCAACGCCGCGUGAGUGAUGAAGGUCUUCGGAUCGUAAAACUCUGUUAUUAGGGAAGAACAAAUGUGUAAGUAACUAUGCACGUCUUGACGGUACCUAAUCAGAAAGCCACGGCUAACUACGUG
rnacentral:rRNA from 1 species